UGCGGGAAGGAACCGGGAGAGGGAGAAGUUUGGUAGGGAAGGAACUGGGGAUUAAGUGAGAAGUUAGACGCGGGAGACGAGUCUUCUCGGGAAAGGCGGGAGGCUGGACGGGUUUAUUGAGUGUGGGCCAGGGGAGAAGGAAGACUUUGCGCUCUCAGUGUCGGACGCGCGUCCCCCUCCUGAGUCCCUCAGAGGAUCCAGCGAGGGGCGCCAUCGAGAGGCGAGGAAGUGCCACCGGGGCAGCGGCAGGAAGAGGUGCGGGAGCAGGAGCGCCCAGCCGAGCGUCCCGACCCGCCGCCUUGCGUACUUUCUGGAGGGAGGGAGCGGGGAACCGGCCCGGAGGGGAGCGCCCCGUGGCGAGGGGCUUAGCCAAGUUCCGGUUGCGGCGCCCUUCCCUCGCUCCCACGAGAGGAAAGUUUUCUCCUGUGGUUUCCGCUGGCUCGCGCUCUCCCGGCCCAGUCUCCCGAACCUUCGGGGCGGGCGCCGUCCCAGCCCAGCU
rnacentral:lncRNA from 1 species